GGCUGAUCCAAAGGGAAUGCGUUAUCUCAGUUGAUUAAUCACAGUCAGUUACAGAUUGAACUCUUUGUUCUACUUUGCCCCCUUCUCACUAUUGCACUUGACUAGUGUUUA
rnacentral:Y_RNA from 1 species